rnacentral:rRNA from 1 species
AGCGAACGCUGGCGGCAGGCCUAACACAUGCAAGUCGAGCGAACCUUUCGGGGUUAGUGGCGGACGGGUGAGUAACACGUGGGAACGUGCCUUUAGGUUCGGAAUAACUCAGGGAAACUUGUGCUAAUACCGAAUGUGCCCUUCGGGGGAAAGAUUUAUCGCCUUUAGAGCGGCCCGCGUCUGAUUAGCUAGUUGGUUGAGGUAAUGGCUCACCAAGGCGACGAUCAGUAGCUGGUCUGAGAGGAUGAUCAGCCACAUUGGGACUGAGACACGGCCCAAACUCCUACGGGAAGCAGCAGUGGGGAAUCUUGCGCAAUGGGCGAAAGCCUGACGCAGCCAUGCCGCGUGAAUGAUGAAGGUCUUAGGAUUGUAAAAUUCUUUCACCGGGGACGAUAAUGACGGUACCCGGAGAAGAAGCCCCGGCUAACUUCGUG